rnacentral:rRNA from 1 species
GACGAACGCUGGCGGCGUGCCUAAUGCAUGCAAGUCGCACGCACGGAGCUUGCUCCGUGAGUGGCGCACGGCUGAGGAUCACGUGGGAACAUGCCUCCUUGUGGGGGACAACCCGCCGAAGACGGGCGUAAUACCGCCAUACGCUCGCGUGAGCGAGGAAAGGACGGCGAACGACGCAGGGAGGAGUGGCCCGCCGGCCCGACUCAGGUCGUCGGUGGGGUAAGUGG